UACGUAGGGUGCAAGCGUUGUCCGGAAUUAUUGGGCGUAAAGAGCUCGUAGGCGGUCUGUCGCGUCUGCUGUGAAAACUCAGGGCUUAACCCUGAGCUUGCAGUGGGUACGGGCAGACUAGAGUGCGGUAGGGGAGACUGGAAUUCCUGGUGUAGCGGUGAAAUGCGCAGAUAUCAGGAAGAACACCCGUGGCGGAAGGCGGCUCUCUGGGACGGUACUGACGCUGAGACGCGAAAGCGUGGGGGAGCGAACAGG
rnacentral:rRNA from 1 species